ensembl:lncRNA
GGAAGAGUCAGUGCUACAACGAAGGCAUUUGCCAUGCAAUUGUUCCAGCACUUUUUGGAGAUGUCCUUAUGGCUGUGGGUUAAUUUACAGGCUCACAAAUUUAGGGAAGCUAUCAAUGUGAAAGCUUAAGUCAGGAAGCCAGCUGCUGCGUGUUGUGAUGUGUGUUGGUUUGUUUCCCAAAGGAGCUGUGAUUUUAGUCUGAGGCUUAGCGAUCCAACUUGUCCUGCUUGGGGGGGUUGGCAUUUUAGUGCUACAACUUAUUGAUGUGCAAAUUCUUCCAGUGGGAAAUGCUAAGAGAAACAUGAUUUCACAUGCAAUCGCAUGAGGAAUCGCAUUGUAGGAAUUGGGUUUUGUAGCCAUCUCCUACAGGUGUCCUGUUGCUUGAAAAUAGCCGUGUCGGUGCUGAAUGCGUCGUUGCUAUCUAUGCCAAGUUUCUCUCUCAAAGCAGUUAUUGGAUUGUGUUCUGCCUUUGCAAAACAACUUGCAGAAACGAGAGGUGUGGUCACUUCGGCUGAAACAUUUUGAAUGCUUGAAAAAAUACUUCAAAAUUCAAUCUAUUCAUAACCAAUGGUGGCUUUAACUUUCCCUUUAAAUGACAAGACAGACUGAGCAUUACUGAUGGAUAAACUUGAUGUUUGUCUGUGCCACGCCAUCCUGUGUGCUCAGAAUUGCUGACUGAAAGAAGUCAACUCCGCCACAAACCCUGCUUCCACAUCAUUAGCUAGCUAAUGAAGGAAAAAAAACCUUUGCAUGGGCUUCCUGCUUUUAAUAAUGCCGUCCUUGCCUUUCCCUUCCUCCCAGUUUGUGACCGGUCAUACAACAGAGGAAUCGUAACUCAAUAUGUGCUGCAGAACUGCUAUGCCACAUCAACAGUCAGCUCGGCUACGUGAGGAGAAAGCCAACUACUGUUUUGUUAGGCGGCUCAGACGUCUGGAGGCUUUCGUACAAGACUGGGAACUCAGCGCAUGGGGAAUGAAUGAAGUUCACAAAAGAAGAGGACCUUCCCUGAAGUUUGAAAUGGCUCUCAUUUGCUGUGGCAGUGAGAAGAAGAAGGGGAAGCAAACAGCUGUCUACGAGAGGCAGGUCAGGGGCCUCUAAUCUUCCAUUUUAUACAUACAAGAUUAAAGAUCUGCUUUGAGUUUUGAUUAAGAAUGCAAAGUUAAAAGAUUAAAUACCAGCAAGCCAAAUUAAAGAGGUUUAAGUCAAUCUCGGAACUCAUCAAAGUACCAAAUUUUUAAGCUGUCAUUACAACACAGGAUUAGUGCAAAGCUUCCCUGAACCCUGAUUUGAUGUCCUUCAGUCAACAAUGUUAUUCUCCCCUCAUUUUGUGCUCUUGGCAUAAAACCAGCUAUUGUCUUGUAUUUAAGCUCAUCUCACCUAUGUCCUUCUUUGUCUUUUUUCUGCUUUUUUUUUUUUCCCUGCCCGUGGCCCUGUUAAUCAAGGAACCUGUUUUUUUGUGUGACCUACAGCUUAGCAAUAUACUGUUCUGUAUUAUGCGUUGUCACGAAAUGCGUUAACGCUUAGUAAAUUCGCCUGUUUCAGAAAAAAAAUGCCUUAGUCACCAUGAUUAUUAUAAACUAUUUCUGUGAAUCCCAAGCAGUAAAUAGUUCCUGCAGCCUGCAUGCAUUUCAGCAGAUUGAUUCCAAAAGUUAAAGAAGAGAAAAAAUGUAUUGCAUUCCUAGAUUGAAAUGAGGCUAAUGUGAUCAUCCUAAGGUACCUGAAAAACAGUGUUAAAAGUCUGCAAUUGAUGCUCCAAUGUUUGGGAAAUGGUGAAUCACUCCAGCUGAAAUUAGUGAAGACUUGGGACGUGGAGGGCAGAAGACUGAAGAAUGAUUAAAUCCAGGAAUCUGCUAAUGCAAAUAACCUACUUCGGUAAUAAAUUUUACAAACUGUCGUAAGUGUUAUUUGAAACUCAAGCUGUAAUGCAUUAAAGCAAAUGUUCCCAGGGUUUUCAGUAUAAUAAUUUGGGUCCUUUCCAUUUUUUAUUUAUAGAAGUUGAGACGUCUCAGUUAUAUUAACAUUAUGCUUUCCUCGGUCAUAACCACAAAUGAUAACUUCCGAAUAUUCCCAAAUGCUGAAUUAACGAAAGCCUUAAUUUGAAGUUAUUCCCAUUGGUAAAGUUGAGUGCUACAUGAUGUAUUUCCAAGUUUUCAUCUGAAGACUUGCUUUUUCUUUUUGUAAUACUUAAGAUCAGCAAUUCAACAUUUUUUUUUAACAAAGACUCAAACUUUAACAUACCUGUCCAGAAUCAUGCCUUAUCCAAAACAUCAGACUCGUAUGCUACAUAAUAAAGAAUAUAAAUUAAAAUUUAUAAAAUUAAAAAUUAUAAAAUUAAAAUUUGUAUUCUUUAUUAAACAACACUAUCUGCAUCUCUAUAUGAAUGAGGGUGCUUUCCUGUUCAUUCUGACUCUUGUGGUCAUUUCUGAGACUUCCCAUUAUGUAAAGGGCCUUAUAAAUUACUGCCAUGCUGUAACUACUACCAUGCUGUCUGUGCCUUUAAUCUUUCAGAACAUUCUUCAAGAUUAUGGAAUGCAAGAGAUAAACUUGCUACCUUUGAAAAAAAUUAUGUAUUUUUUCCUGUGGUAGUUUUCCACCAGCUUUUUGGAAACUACCUCCUCUCACAUUUAUUUUGGUUAUCUUACAUGCAGCUGAAAAUGCUUUUAGUCAGCAAACAAAAUUCAGAUUACCCAACUUUUCCAAAAGAACUUAAUACGUGCCUUUUGAUUAAAGGCAGAAGAAACUGAAUGUAGAAGAAAAAGGAAGAUCGUGAAGGAUAAAACACAGUUGUUGCUUAUGAAGCUCUUGGCAUCCUACUCCUAGCAGACUUGCAGUGAUUUUAUAUAUGAAUGUCUCUUGAUCGUGUUGUCAUUUAUUGGUAUUCACGUUGCAGACAGAAAUGCAAAUGGGUGAUUUUGAACCCACAGUGAUCAUGACAGGUCAGGUAUUCACAACAAACACUGCCUCUAGAAAAUGAUAUAGGCAAAUCUCCAGGGUAAGUAUGUACAGAUUAGGUAGAGUUCGGGUAAAUUUGUUUGUUUGUUGGUAAAGCGGAGUUGCAGCUGACUUCUAUCACUGUGUGCAAAUUUGUUCCUGCUGGUUUGGUGUACUACUUCUUUAUCAGUGUUGAAGAGUGUAGAAACAGCCAUGAUUUCUGUACACAGGUCCACCUGGCUCUGUAUGCACAUCCUGAGGUUGGCCAAACCACUUUGGACAAAUACAGUGUCAUCCUUCUACUGCCUGACGCUUCUUCCUGGCGAUGCACACAUUAUGGACUUCCUGAGUCCAAGAUAGCAUUACAUUUUUCUCUUUAAUGAUAUAGUGGCCUCUUUUUCUUUUUUUCUUUUCUUUUAAGUAAGCAAAGGAAAAAAAAUAAAAGAACCCCAAAUACCUCAUUCUGAUUAUUCUGUUUCUAUGUCUUUUACAUGACUAAUGCUUGGGAUAUUCUUGAGCUUUGGUAUCAUGAAAAAUGGAGAACAAUAGAUUUCCUAUUCAGGUUUUCUGUAUUGCCCAGAAUUUUGUAGAGCACUGACCUGAUGUCCCUUUUUGCCAUGCUAGGUAAUUCUCUAUAGACUUGUUUUGUUGUUGUUGUUGUUGUUUUUUUCUCUUCACUUUUGUUUUUCUGCUAUAUCCAUUUUUAGAUAUGGUGAUCAGAACUGUGCAUGCCUUGUUUAAGAUGCGUAUCUAUUUACUGGGAAGAAAAUGCUUUCUGUUUUAUUCUCUGUUCUUAAUCUUUGCUAAUCAUCUGCUCAUUGUUUUGACCACUAAUGAGUUAUUUUCAAAAACCUAUCCACUAUAGUUCUGGGUUUUGUUUUUUUGUUUGUUUGUUUCUUAUUCA